rnacentral:rRNA from 1 species
GUAGCGGCGAGCGAAACGGGAAGAGCCCAAACCAACAAGCUUGCUUGUUGGGGUUGUAGGACACUCUAUACGGAGUUACAAAGGACGACAUUAGACGAAUCAUCUGGAAAGAUGAAUCAAAGAAGGUAAUAAUCCUGUAGUCGAAAAUGUUGUCUCUCUUGAGUGGAUCCUGAGUACGACGGAGCACGUGAAAUUCCGUCGGAAUCUGGGAGGACCAUCUCCUAAGGCUAAAUACUCUCUAGUGACCGAUAGUGAACCAGUACCGUGAGGGAAAGGUGAAAAGCACCCCGGAAGGGGAGUGAAAUAGAACCUGAAACCGUGUGCUUACAAGUAGUCAGAGCCCGUUAAUGGGUGAUGGCGUGCCUUUUGUAGAAUGAACCGGCGAGUUACGAUUUGAUGCAAGGUUAAGCAGUAAAUGUGGAGCCGUAGCGAAAGCGAGUCUGAAUAGGGCGUUUAGUAUUUGGUCGUAGACCCGAAACCAGGUGAUCUACCCUUGGUCAGGUUGAAGUUCAGGUAACACUGAAUGGAGGACCGAACCGACUUACGUUGAAAAGUGAGCGGAUGAACUGAGGGUAGCGGAGAAAUUCCAAUCGAACCUGGAGAUAGCUGGUUCUCUCCGAAAUAGCUUUAGGGCUAGCCUCAAGUGAUGAUUAUUGGAGGUAGAGCACUGUUUGGACGAGGGGCCCCUCUCGGGUUACCGAAUUCAGACAAACUCCGAAUGCCAAUUAAUUUAACUUGGGAGUCAGAACAUGGGUGAUAAGGUCCGUGUUCGAAAGGGAAACAGCCCAGACCACCAGCUAAGGUCCCAAAAUAUAUGUUAAGUGGAAAAGGAUGUGGCGUUGCCCAGACAACUAGGAUGUUGGCUUAGAAGCAGCCAUCAUUUAAAGAGUGCGUAAUAGCUCACUAGUCGAGUGACACUGCGCCGAAAAUGUACCGGGGCUAAACAUAUUACCGAAGCUGUGGAUUGUCCUUUGGACAAUGGUAGGAGAGCGUUCUAAGGGCGUUGAAGCAUGAUCGUAAGGACAUGUGGAGCGCUUAGAAGUGAGAAUGCCGGUGUGAGUAGCGAAAGACGGGUGAGAAUCCCGUCCACCGAUUGACUAAGGUUUCCAGAGGAAGGCUCGUCCGCUCUGGGUUAGUCGGGUCCUAAGCUGAGGCCGACAGGCGUAGGCGAUGGAUAACAGGUUGAUAUUCCUGUACCACCUAUAAUCGUUUUAAUCGAUGGGGGGACGCAGUAGGAUAGGCGAAGCGUGCGAUUGGAUUGCACGUCUAAGCAGUAAGGCUGAGUAUUAGGCAAAUCCGGUACUCGUUAAGGCUGAGCUGUGAUGGGGAGAAGACAUUGUGUCUUCGAGUCGUUGAUUUCACACUGCCGAGAAAAGCCUCUAGAUAGAAAAUAGGUGCCCGUACCGCAAACCGACACAGGUAGUCAAGAUGAGAAUUCUAAGGUGAGCGAGCGAACUCUCGUUAAGGAACUCGGCAAAAUGACCCCGUAACUUCGGGAGAAGGGGUGCUCUUUAGGGUUAACGCCCAGAAGAGCCGCAGUGAAUAGGCCCAAGCGACUGUUUAUCAAAAACACAGGUCUCUGCUAAACCGUAAGGUGAUGUAUAGGGGCUGACGCCUGCCCGGUGCUGGAAGGUUAAGAGGAGUGGUUAGCUUCUGCGAAGCUACGAAUCGAAGCCCCAGUAAACGGCGGCCGUAACUAUAACGGUCCUAAGGUAGCGAAAUUCCUUGUCGGGUAAGUUCCGACCCGCACGAAAGGCGUAACGAUUUGGGCACUGUCUCAACGAGAGACUCGGUGAAAUCAUAGUACCUGUGAAGAUGCAGGUUACCCGCGACAGGACGGAAAGACCCCGUGGAGCUUUACUGUAGCCUGAUAUUGAAAUUCGGCACAGCUUGUACAGGAUAGGUAGGAGCCUUUGAAACGUGAGCGCUAGCUUACGUGGAGGCGCUGGUGGG